rfam:Rhodoferax sp. DCY110 plasmid unnamed2 sequence.
GGGCAGGAUGUGUGAAGUUAGCUAACCGGCGAGCCGGUUAUCUAUCUUCACUGUCCCUUAUUCGCGCCGGGGGCGCUCAACGGGUCAUCCUGCUCUGCGAGGCA